AUAGCGCCAACUUUUCAGGGUGUCAGAUCAGGAGCCCGGAGCCUCUGUAAGAUCUGAAUAAUCGGGAAGCUGGUGCAUGCCUCAGGAACUGGCAUUAGUCCGGCGCUGCCCCCGCAACGGUGAGCUUAUCGCAACUGUCUGGUUGGAAUAAGUAAGUCCGGAAACCGGCCCUGAAGCCUACUCAUUAG
rnacentral:ncRNA from 14 species